rnacentral:rRNA from 1 species
GACGAACCGUGCGAACGUUGUUCGGAUUCACUGGGCUUAAAGGGCGCGUAGGCGGGCUCGCCAGUCUGUGGUGAAAGCCCCCGGCUUAACCGGGGAAGUGCCGUGGAUACUGCGAGUCUUGAGGCGGGUAGGGGCGUGCGGAACACUGGGUGGAGCGGUGAAAUGCGUUGAUAUCCAGUGGAACUCCGGUGGCGAAGGCGGCACGCUGGACCCGUCCUGACGCUGAGGCGCGAAAGCCAGGGGAGCGAACGGG